rnacentral:pre_miRNA from 11 species
GACCGCACGGGAUAAUUGAUUAUCCCGUGCGGUCGUGUUGUACGGACCGUACGGGAUAAUCGAUUAUCCCGUGCGGUC